rnacentral:rRNA from 1 species
AGAGUUUGAUCCUGGCUCAGGACGAACGCUGGCGGCACGCUUAACACAUGCAAGUCGAACGAGAGAGGAGGAGCUUGCUUUUCUGAUCUAGUGGCGGACGGGUGAAUAACACGUGAGCAAUCUGCCUUUCAGAGGGGGAUACCGAUUGGAAACGAUCGUUAAUACCGCAUAACAUAAUUGAACCGCAUGAUUUGAUUAUCAAAGAUUUAUCGCUGAAAGAUGAGCUCGCGUCUGAUUAGCUAGUUGGUAAGGUAACGGCUUACCAAGGCGACGAUCAGUAGCCGGACUGAGAGGUUGAUCGGCCACAUUGGGACUGAGACACGGCCCAGACUCCUACGGGAGGCAGCAGUGGGGAAUAUUGCACAAUGGAGGAAACUCUGAUGCAGCGAUGCCGCGUGAGGGAAGAAGGUUUUAGGAUUGUAAACCUCUGUCUUCAGGGACGAAAAAAGACGGUACCUGAGGAGGAAGCUCCGGCUAACUACGUGCCAGCAGCCGCGGUAAUACGUAGGGAGCGAGCGUUGUCCGGAAUUACUGGGUGUAAAGGGAGCGUAGGCGGGAUCGCAAGUCAGAUGUGAAAACUAUGGGCUUAACCCAUAAACUGCAUUUGAAACUGUGGUUCUUGAGUGAAGUAGAGGUAAGCGGAAUUCCUAGUGUAGCGGUGAAAUGUGUAGAUAUUAGGAGGAACAUCAGUGGCGAAGGCGGCUUACUGGGCUUUAACUGACGCUGAGGCUCGAAAGCGUGGGGAGCAAACAGGAUUAGAUACCCUGGUAGUCCACGCCGUAAACGAUGAUUACUAGGUGUGGGGGGACUGACCCCUUCCGUGCCGCAGCAAACGCAAUAAGUAAUCCACCUGGGGAGUACGACCGCAAGGUUGAAACUCAAAGGAAUUGACGGGGGCCCGCACAAGCAGUGGAGUAUGUGGAUUAAUUCGAAGCAACGCGAAGAACCUUACCAGGUCUUGACAUCGUAUGCGUAGCUCAGAGAUGAGUGAAAUCUCUUCGGAGACAUAUAGACAGGUGGUGCAUGGUUGUCGUCAGCUCGUGUCGUGAGAUGUUGGGUUAAGUCCCGCAACGAGCGCAACCCUUACUGUUAGUUGCUACGCAAGAGCACUCUAGCAGGACUGCCGUUGACAAAACGGAGGAAGGUGGGGAUGACGUCAAAUCAUCAUGCCCCUUAUGACCUGGGCCUCACACGUACUACAAUGGCUGUCAACAGAGGGAAGCAAAGCCGCGAGGUGGAGCGAACCCUUAAAAGCAGUCUUAGUUCGGAUUGUAGGCUGCAACCCGCCUACAUGAAGUCGGAAUUGCUAGUAAUCGCAGAUCAGCAUGCUGCGGUGAAUACGUUCCCGGGCCUUGUACACACCGCCCGUCACGCCAUGGGAGUCGGUAACACCCGAAGCCUGUAGUCUAACCGCAAGGAGGACGCAGUCGAAGGUGGGAUUGAUGACUGGGGUGAAGUCGUAACAAGGUA